GGGCCUGUAGUAUAGCGGUAACACGCAAUCAUGGCAUGAUUGAGUCCGGGGUCCGACUCCCCGCAGGUCCACCA
rnacentral:tRNA from 4 species